GGCACCCAGACAUUGUGCAAUGUGGACGACUACGACACCAAACCGAUUUUCAACAAUUUUCAACAAAUCGUUUUUAUUUUUAGUUGUGCACACAACAAUUUUAUUAUUCAAAUUCUCAAAAACGAGUAUUAUUUCUCAAAAAAUCGGAUUUUGAUUUGUUUUGUGUUUUCGAAAAUGUUUUGAAGUGAGCUGAAACUCAAAUUAUUCAGGUUUGAAGGAGAAUUCAAGAUAUCUUCCCCGGGACUUUUUAUCAAACCCCAAAAUCCAGGGUUUGGUUUUCGCCGUUCAGACUCUCCAAAGUCUAGGUCAUCCACGCAGCAUUUCGGUGCUCCACGCAGGAUCCCGUCCUUUCCCGGCGGAGCUUCCCCUGGUGGUGGCGGGUGGGGCGUUUUCGAGUCCGGGAUCCGGGACGUGCGGAGAGUCGGGCGAAACGGGGCGUCGAACGGAUCGAUCGAGGCAGCAGCAGCAGCAGCAGGCAACAUGAUUCCCCCACAUUGACCCCACCCCUCCUUUAGGAUUCCCCGCGCAUCCCGGAAUCCCGCGGGCUCCUCUCCGCGCGUUUCAUCCCCCUACGAACACCGUCGACGUCGACCGUGACACCAGCCCACCACCAUCAACUCCAUCAGAAGAACAGUUCUCUCGUCUGUCCUGUCAACGCUGAUUUCAGAUUUUCUUAAUAUUUAUUUAAAGAACGAAGACUUCUUUUGAAAAGAAUUCAAAGGUUAUCGAUUUAAAUAUGUUUAAUUUUGUAAUAGAAAAUACAGUUAAUAGUGCAUAAAACGCCGACGAAAGUAAUAAAUGGCAUCUGUGGCAAAAGCGAUUCGGUAAAACGUAAAUAGCAGUAAAUACAGGUCGAUUUUGAUCGCGAUAAGCUUCGGAUUGACCAUUAAUUCCUCCCCGGGUCUCAAUUGGAAGUAGUUUCACAUCGAGUAGAAAUUCAAUUUUCCAAUGCCGGCGUUGAAUUUCAACUAGGAAUACCGGGUAAUGUCGGAAGUCGACCGUUUGAAUGGAAUACAAAAUAGUUUGGUUUUGCUACUUAAACCUUACUUGCAAAAAAUAGAAAAAAAAUCGGUUUAAAAUGUGUUCAAAAUGAUGAUGAAGACCAUAAAGGAAGGCUAAGAAAUGGAAAUACAGAAAAAGAGAUCAAAAAUCAAAAGCCAAAAACUUCGCUUCACGUUAAUGCUCUACAUCUACCCUGUAGAUCCGAAUUUGUUUGAUAUCAAGCGACAAAUUCGGUUCUAGAGAGGUUUGUGUGGUGCAUACUAAGAAACGUGACAAGAACAACCCUUAUUCAGCCAUGAUUUGAACCAGGAUAACAAUCCCUCCCUAUUUUUAAUGUCCGCCUUUGGGGUUGAGGGUUGAUUUUUGUAAAACUCCUCCCCUCAUGGUGGAUUCCAUAACGAUAUAUCUUUAUUUAAUUAUAUCAAAAAGUGCCAUUAAAAUUUUUUGAACUUG